AGCAGCCGCGGUAAUUCCAGCUCCAAUAGCGUAUAUUAAAGUUGUUGCAGUUAAAAAGCUCGUAGUUGAAUUUCGGGAUCAAUAUGUUGGUCGUGCCAUUGGUACGCACUGGCAUUAUUGGUUUCUACCUUCUGAAGAACCUCGAUGUCAUUAAUUUGGUGUCUUGGGGAAUCAGGACUGUUACUUUGAAAAAAUUAGAGUGUUUAAAGCAAGCUCGCGCUUGAAUACAUUAGCAUGGAAUAAUGAAAUAGGACGUUUGAUUCCAUUUUGUUGGUUUCUAGGAUUGACGUAAUGAUUAAUAGGGAUAGUUGGGGGCAUUAGUAUUCAAUUGUCAGAGGUGAAAUUCUUGGAUUUAUUGAAGACUAACUACUGCGAAAGCAUUUGCCAAGGAUGUUUUCAUUAAUCAAGAACGAAAGUUAGGGGAUCGAAGACGAUCAGAUACCGUCGUAGUCUUAACCAUAAACUAUGCCGACUAGGGAUCGGAUGAUGUUAAUUUUUUAAUGACUCAUUCGGCGCCUUACG
rnacentral:rRNA from 1 species